AUGUAUGGCGUGGAUGUGACCUUUCUAUGGACAUGUGGUCCUAUUAGACUUUCCUUCACUUUCUAACAAAGAUGCUGGGAUGCAGGAAAGCAGGGUGGAAAGACAGAAGGUGCUUAGGGAGCUGCUGAGAGAUCAGGGCACUCUGGGUAUGCUCAGAGGCUCGUUCUGGUGCGACAGAAGGGCUAAUUACUGCCUGCAAAAGUGUGUCUUAUUAUUGCAAGACUUCAAUGGCAUUGUAAGCUCAUUGUAAGCGUCUCUCUGCCCUAUCUCCAGACAGGAAGGAACUUCACACAGCUUGAUUUAUUGAAUGAGGACUGCAAAAGAAAAGAAAAGAAAAAGACACUUCAGGCUCAGAUGUAUUGGCUUCCUGUUAUACCAAUCAAUUCCACUAGAGCCAUUGUGGUUUCUUAAAGGGCAACACACAGCUAUGUUUGGUUGACGGGCAAUGCACGAAAUGGAUGCACCUCAAAUCUAUUAAACUGCCACCAUAAGCAGUCAGAUGAUAUGGUUCUGGGUGAAAAUAGUUUAUAGUGAUUGCAGCAUUAAGCUGAUCAAAGCUUUGGGGUUUUGAUAAACUGUAGGUAUUACUUUUUUAUUAUUUUAAUGCUAUGGUGGAAUCUAGCCCCUUUCCAAUUGAUCAGUACUUCCAAUGCAUCUGACUGAUUCAUUUGCAUUUCUGGUCACAGAGCCAUUUUGCAACUCAAUUCCUUUUCCUAAAAAUAAGAAAUAACACUUAAAUACAGUAACCAUCCUGCUCCUCCCCACUUAAUUAAUUGUUUCAUGAGCUUGUUUGGUCCUAGAAUUAGUUGUCUUCCAUCCAAUACUGAAAUCACCCAUUUAAGCACAGUAGUAAACUUUUCAUCC